rnacentral:rRNA from 1 species
UACAGAGGGUGCAAGCGUUAAUCGGAAUUACUGGGCGUAAAGCGCGCGUAGGCGGUCGGGUCAGUCGGAUGUGAAAUCCCCGGGCUUAACCUGGGAAUUGCAUUCGAUACUGCCUGGCUAGAGUGUGGAAGAGGGAAGCGGAAUUUCCGGUGUAGCGGUGAAAUGCGUAGAUAUCGGAAGGAACACCAGUGGCGAAGGCGGCUUCCUGGUCCAACACUGACGCUGAGGCGCGAAAGCGUGGGUAGCGAACAGGAUUAGAUACCCUGGUAGU